rnacentral:rRNA from 1 species
GAUGAACGCUGGCGGCGUGCCUAAUACAUGCAAGUCGAGCGAACGGACGAGAAGCUUGCUUCUCUGAUGUUAGCGGCGGACGGGUGAGUAACACGUGGAUAACCUACCUAUAAGACUGGGAUAACUUCGGGAAACCGUAGCUAAUACCGGAUAAUAUUUUGAACCGCAUGGUUCAAAAGUGAAGGACGGUCUUGCUGUCACUUAUAGAUGGAUCCGCGCUGCAUUAGCUAGUUGGUAAGGUAACGGCUUACCAAGGCAACGAUGCAUAGCCGACCUGAGAGGGUGAUCGGCCACACUGGAACUGAGACACGGUCCAGACUCCUAAGGGAGGCAGCAGUAGGGAAUCUUCCGCAAUGGGCGAAAGCCUGACGGAGCAACGCCGCGUGAGUGAUGAAGGUCUUCGGAUCGUAAAACUCUGUUAUUAGGGAAGAACAUAUGUGUAAGUAACUGUGCACAUCUUGACGGUACCUAAUCAGAAAGCCACGGCUAACUACGUGCCAGCAGCCGCGGUAAUACGUAGGUGGCAAGCGUUAUCCGGAAUUAUUGGGCGUAAAGCGCGCGUAGGCGGUUUUUUAAGUCUGAUGUGAAAGCCCACGGCUCAACCGUGGAGGGUCAUUGGAAACUGGAAAACUUGAGUGCAGAAGAGGAAAGUGGAAUUCCAUGUGUAGCGGUGAAAUGCGCAGAGAUAUGGAGGAACACCAGUGGCGAAGGCGACUUUCUGGUCUGUAACUGACGCUGAUGUGCGAAAGCGUGGGGAUCAAACAGGAUUAGAUACCCUGGUAGUCCACGCCGUAAACGAUGAGUGCUAAGUGUUAGGGGGUUUCCGCCCCUUAGUGCUGCAGCUAACGCAUUAAGCACUCCGCCUGGGGAGUACGACCGCAAGGUUGAAACUCAAAGGAAUUGACGGGGACCCGCACAAGCGGUGGAGCAUGUGGUUUAAUUCGAAGCAACGCGAAGAACCUUACCAAAUCUUGACAUCCUUUGACAACUCUAGAGAUAGAGCCUUCCCCUUCGGGGGACAAAGUGACAGGUGGUGCAUGGUUGUCGUCAGCUCGUGUCGUGAGAUGUUGGGUUAAGUCCCGCAACGAGCGCAACCCUUAAGCUUAGUUGCCAUCAUUAAGUUGGGCACUCUAAGUUGACUGCCGGUGACAAACCGGAGGAAGGUGGGGAUGACGUCAAAUCAUCAUGCCCCUUAUGAUUUGGGCUACACACGUGCUACAAUGGACAAUACAAAGGGCAGCGAAACCGCGAGGUCAAGCAAAUCCCAUAAAGUUGUUCUCAGUUCGGAUUGUAGUCUGCAACUCGACUACAUGAAGCUGGAAUCGCUAGUAAUCGUAGAUCAGCAUGCUACGGUGAAUACGUUCCCGGGUCU